rnacentral:rRNA from 1 species
GGGGAAUAUUGCACAAUGGGCGCAAGCCUGAUGCAGCAACGCCGCGUGAGGGACGACGGCCUUCGGGUUGUAAACCUCUUUUAGUAGGGAAGAAGCGAAAGUGACGGUACCUGCAGAAAAAGCACCGGCUAACUACGUGCCAGCAGCCGCGGUAAUACGUAGGGUGCAAGCGUUAUCCGGAAUUAUUGGGCGUAAAGAGCUCGUAGGCGGUUUGUCACGUCUGCUGUGAAAACUGGAGGCUCAACCUCCAGCCUGCAGUGGGUACGGGCAGACUAGAGUGCGGUAGGGGGGAUUGGAAUUCCUGGUGUAGCGGUGGAAUGCGCAGAUAUCAGGAGGAACACCGAUGGCGAAGGCAGAUCUCUGGGCCGUAACUGACGCUGAGGAGCGAAAGCGUGGGGAGCGAAC